GUUUUCUUUUGCCUUUCUCCUUUGCCUUUUUCGUUUGCCUUUUUUUUCGUUUGCCUUUUUUGUUUGCCCUUUUCUCUCGCUUGCUUUCUGUUCACUUGUGUUGCCAUGUGCCUUCAAUAUGCUUGCACCUUUGCUUGCUGAAAAUCUAGUGAUAUUGAUCCUCAUCCACUUGCUAAUCUCCUUAAGAGAUCCAAUUAUGUUGAUCCAAUUGCUAGUGAGUUGAGUGCACUUGACUAUCUUUAUGGAGUUUUGCUUGAGAUCGUGAAUCUGAAAAUUGUGAGGAAGAA
rnacentral:lncRNA from 1 species